rnacentral:ribozyme from 13 species
UGUUUUUUUUUUUUUUUUUUUUUUUUUUCUU